AUUGAACGCUGGCGGCAGGCCUAACACAUGCAAGUCGAGCGGAGCGGCGGACGGGUGAGUAAUGCCUAGGUAUCGGCCAGUUAGUGGGGGAUAACGUCCGGAAACGGACGCUAAUACUGCAUCCUCUCAGUUGCGCCUUGUGCGGGUUAGCAAGUGGGUGGGGUAAAGGCCUACCAAGGCGACGAUCCGUAACUGGUCUGAGAGGAUGAUCAUUCACACUGGAACUGAGACACGGUCCAGACUCCUACGGGAGGCAGCAGUGGGGAAUAUUGGACAAUGGGCGAAAGCCUGAUCCAGCCAUGCCGCGUGUGUGAAGAAGGUCUUCGGAUUGUAAAGCACUUUAAGUUGGGAGGCGUUACCAACAGAAUAAGCACCGGCUAACUUCGUGCCAGCAGCCGCGGUAAUAC
rnacentral:rRNA from 1 species